UGCGUUGGGUGAAUUGGCACUCAAUAAGAACCAAUCGGGGUUAGUUGU
rnacentral:ncRNA from 1 species